AUGCCGCGUGAGUGAUGAAGGCCUUCGGGUUGUAAAGCUCUUUCGCCGGGAAGAUAAAGACGGUACCUGGAUAAGAAGCCGCGGCUAACUUCGUGCCAGCAGCCGCGGUAAUACGAAGGGGGCUAGCGUUGUUCGGAAUUACUGGGCGUAAAGCGCACGUAGGCGGUUUUCCAAGUUGGAGGUGAAAUCCCCGGGCUCAACCUGGGAAUUGCCUCCGAUACUGGGAGACUCGAGUACGAGAGAGGAGAGUGGAAUUCCCAGUGUAGAGGUGAAAUUCGUAGAUAUUGGGAAGAACACCAGUGGCGAAGGCGGCUCUCUGGACCGUUACUGACGCUGAGGAGCGACAGCGUGGGGAGCAAACAGGAUUAGAUACCCUGGUAGUCCACGCCGUAAACUAUGGGUGCUAGAUGUCGGGGAGCUUGCUCUUCGGUGACGCAGCUAACGCAUUAAGCACCCCGCCUGGGGAGUACGGUCGCAAGGUUAAAACUCAAAGGAAUUGACGG
rnacentral:rRNA from 1 species